GUUCAGCAGUCUCUGAGGGCUGCAGUCUCAGGGCACUGAUGAAAAGACCAGGGUCCCAGUGGCCCACAAACCCUCUGGAUUAGGGGCUUCAGCUCCAAGGACUGAGCCCUGAGCCAUGGCCUUCCUCCAUCAUGGCUUCCCUGGGAGGGCCUGGCAGGCACAUGGAGGCCUCGGGAGACCCCAGGAGCCCACAGGUAUGGGUGCACCGUGGCAGGCGGCCACAGAGCCCACUGGGCUCUGCAGCUGGAAUAACUGAAUACGCAGCUCACUGUCCCCCAAGCUUGGUUGGGGACUCUUCCUUCAUAUUUUAACAAAAUCCACGGCACCUCUGGGAUGCCGGCGGCUGCUGCACACUGGGGACAAACAAGACAGAUGCAGACC
rnacentral:lncRNA from 10 species